GGAGAAUGACACACCUGGAUUCCAUAAGGAGGGGCACAGAAGAUCUGCAUUCCCUCCCAGACCUUGCCCUGUGCAUCUCUUCAUUUGGCUGGUCCUCUUGAUUUGUAUCCUUUCUAAUAAAACUGUAAUGAAUGCAAACUAAAGCCUUUGCCAAGCAAAAGGACUCAUCAGUGUUUACUAGCAAUCCCUCAGGGUCCAAGAAGAGAGAAGCCCAGGCUGCCACUUAGAGAAAAAGAAAGAAGGCCAAAUGCAACGAGAAGAACAAGGAAAGAGAAACAAUAUGCGUCAUUGGAAAAUUGACAAAACAAUGAAUCUCCCCCAAAUUUAACAAGAUGAACAAAGUGGAAGAGGUGUCAAAGACAGUAAGAGUGGACUGAGGGAGAGAUGCUGGAUGACUUCCAGGACAAGUAAGAUGGCUGGAAGAACAAAGAGGAUUUUCAUUUCCCAGCAGUGACAAUGGAGUCGAAGGUAUGGAAUGAAGGGUG
rnacentral:lncRNA from 1 species